rnacentral:lncRNA from 13 species
AUGGGCAUCAUCCAUGCCUGGGGCAUCAUCUACUGCUGUGGCAUCAUCCAUACCUGGGGCAUAAUCCACUGCUGCAUCAUCAUCCACAGAUGGGCAUCAUCCAUGCCUGGGGCAUCAUCCACUGCUGUGGCAUCAUCCAUACCUGGGGCAUCAUCCACAGAUGGGCAUCAUCCACUCCUGCGGCAUAAUCCACAGAUGGGCAUCAUCCACUCCAGGGGCAUCAUCGACAAAUGGGCAUCCACUGCAGUGGCAUUAUCGACAGAUAGGCAUCAUCCACUCCUGGGGCAUCAUGCACUGCUGUGGCAUCAUCCACAGAUGGGCAUCAUCCACUGCUGUGGCAUCAUCCACAGAUGGGCAUCAUCCACUCCUGGGGCAUCAUCCACUGCUGUGGCAUCCACAGAUGGGGCAUCAUCCAUACCUGGGGCAUCAUCCACUGCUGGGGCAUCAUCCAUGCCUGGGGCAUCAUCCACUGCUGCGGCAUCAUCCACACCUGGGACAUCAUCCAGUGCUACAGCAUCAUCCACAGAUGGGCAUCAUCCACUCCUGGGGCAUCAUCCACUGCUGUGGCAUCAUCCACAGACAGGCAUCACCCACUCCUGGGGCAUCAUCCACUGCUGUGGCAUCAUCCACUGCUGCAGCAUCAUAUAUAACUGGGGCAUCAUCCACUGCUGGGGCAUCAUCCACACCUUGGCAUCAUCCACAGCUGGGGCAUCAUCCAUGCCUGGGGCAUCAUCCACUGCUGAGGCAUCAUCCACAGAUGGGCAUCAUCCACUGCUGAGGCAUCAUCCACACCUGGGGCAUCAUCCACAGAUGGGCAUCAUCCACGCCUGGGCAUCAUCCACUGCUGGGGUAUCAUCCACACCUCUGGUAGCUCUGCAGGAAGGUUGCCCACCUCAAUCUUGCUUUCUCCAGGUUCCAGAGGCUCCCAUUUAA